GUGGAUUAGAUACCCUGGUAGUCCACGCUGUAAACGGUGAGUGCUGGGUGUGGGAGGUGUAAUGCCUUCUGUGCCGAAGCUAACGCGUUAAGCACUCCGCCUGGGGAGUACGGCCGCAAGGUUGAAACUCAAAGGAAUUGACGGGGGCCCGCACAAGCGGUGGAGCAUGUGGUUUAAUUCGACGCAACGCGAAAAACCUUACCUGGGUUUGACAUGGAGAGAAUCCGGAUGAAAGUCUGGAGUGCCUCGUAAGAGGAGCUCUCACACAGGUGCUGCACGGCCGUCGUCAACU
rnacentral:rRNA from 1 species